rnacentral:rRNA from 1 species
UUCGGGUACUUUAGUGGCGAACGGGUGAGUAAUACCUAGGUAACCUACCCUUAAGACGAGGAUAACCAUUGGAAACGCCGGAUAAAACUGGAUAGGAUAUAGAGGAAGAAUCUUUUAUAUUUAAAAGAGAGAUCUGCUUAAGGAGGGGCCUGUGGCGCAUUAGCUAGUUGGUGGGGUAAGGGCCUACCAAGGCGAUGAUGCGUAGCCGGACUGAGAGGUUGAACGGCCACAAUGGAACUGAGAACGGUCCAUACUCCUACGGGAGGCAGCAGUAGGGAAUUUUCGGCAAUGGGGGGAACCCUGACCGAGCAACGCCGCGUGAACGAAGAAGUUAUUCGUAAUGUAAAGUUCUUUUAUCAGGGAAGAAAGAGGAAUUUGACGGUACCUGAGGAAUAAGCUCCGGCUAACUACGUGCCAGCAGCCGCGGUAAUACGUAGGGAGCGAGCGUUAUCCGGAAUUAUUGGGCGUAAAGGGUGCGUAGAUGGCAUAGUAAGUCUUUUGUAAAAAUGCUGGGCUCAACCCAGUAGGGCAAAAGAUACUGCAA